UUAAUUGGCGGUCUCGCCGUGGCCCUCCUCUGCGCAGUAGUAAAGCACUCGCAACAGGAGCCCGGCGCGGUCCACUGCCGUAAAACCCCCCAACUUUUUAU
rnacentral:rRNA from 1 species